GAAAUGCGAUAAGUAAUGUGAAUUGCAGAAUUCAGUGAAUCAUCGAAUCUUUGAACGCACCUUGCGCUCCUUGGUAUUCCUUGGAGCAUGCCUGUUUGAGUAUCAUGAAAUCUUCAAAGUAAAUCUUUUGUUAACUCAAUUGGUUUCUACUUUGGUAUUGGAGGUCUUUGCAGCUUCACACCUGCUCCUCUUUGUUCAUUAGCUGGAUCUCAGUGUUAUGCUUGGUUCCACUCGGCGUGAUAAGUUAUCUAUCGCUGAGGACACUGUAAAAGGUGGCCAAGGUAAAUGCAGAUGAACCGCUUCUAAUAGUCCAUUGACUUGGACAAUACUUUUAUGAUCUGAUCUCAACGCAGGUAGGACUACCCGCUGAACUUAAGC
rnacentral:misc_RNA from 1 species